rnacentral:rRNA from 1 species
AGUGGAUGGGGAGCAACCUAGUUGUGCGUGUGUAAAGGUAGUGCCAAGAAAAGCGGUGAUCAUGAUGAAAAUCAAUUCCCGGUACCCGAAACCGACACAGGUGGGCAAGUAGAGAAUACUAAGGGGCGCGAGGUAACUCUCUCCAAGGAACUCGGCAAAAUGACCCCGUAACUUAGGGAGAAGGGGUGCCACCGAGAGGUGGUCGCAGUGAAGAGGCCCAGGCGACUGUUUAGCAAAAACAUAGGUCUCUGCAAACUCGAAAGAGGAGGUAUAGGGGCUGACGCCUGCCCAGUGCCGGAAGGUUAAAGAAGUUGGUCAGUCUUAGGAUGAAGCUAGCGACUGAAGCCCCGGUGAACGGCGGCCGUAACUAUAACGGUCCUAAGGUAGCGAAAUUCCUUGUCGGGUAAGUUCCGACCCGCACGAAAGGCGUAACGAUCUGGGCGCUGUCUCGGAGAGAGGCUCGGCGAAAUAGGAUAGUCUGUGAAGAUACGGACUACCUGCAUUUGGACAGAAAGACCCUAUGAAGCUUUACUAUAGCUUGGAAUUGUGUUCGGGCUUCCUGUGCGCAGGAUAGGUGGGAGGCGUAGAAGGUAUUCUUGUGGGGAUACUGGAGCCAACGGUGAGAUACCACUCUCAGGAGGCUAGAAUUCUAACUUAAUUAAGGACAGUUUCAGGUGGGUAGUCUGACUGGGGCGGUCGCCUCCAAAAAGGUAACGGAGGCGUACAAAGGUUCCCUCAGACUGGUUGGAAAUCAGUCGAAGAGUGCAAAGGCAGAAGGGAGCUUGACUGCGAGAAGUACAGUUCGAGCAGGGUGGAAACACGGUCUUAGUGAUCCGACGGUGCUGUGUGGAAGGGCCGUCGCUCAACGGAUAAAAGUUACUCUAGGAUAACAGGCUGAUCUCCCCCAAGAGUUCACAUCGACGGGGAGGUUUGGCACCUCGAUGUCGGCUCAUCGCAACCUGGGGCGGAAGUACGUCCCAAGGGUUGGGCUGUUCGCCCAUUAAAGCGGUACGUGAGCUGGGUUCAGAACGUCGUGAGACAGUUCGGUCCAUAUCCGAUGUAGGCGUGAGAGUAUUGAGAGGAGCCUUCCUUAGUACGAGAGGACCGGGAAGGACGCACCGCUGGUGUACCUGUUAUGAUGCCAAUUGUAAACGCAGGGUAGCCAAGUGCGGAGAGGAUAACCGCUGAAAGCAUCUAAGUGGGAAGCCCACCUCAAGAUGAGUAUUCUGGUGUAAGGUCACGGGAAGACGACCCGUAAAUAGGCACGAGGUGGAAGUGCAGAGAUGUAUGAAGCCGAAGUGUACUAAUAGACCGUCGGCUUGACC